ensembl:lncRNA
GUUGAUAGUUACGAGUGGAUACAAACAGAGUAAACUCAGGUCGACCACAACACUCUCCUCUCCAAGGGAUAUCUUGGGCAAAGGAAAAGCAAUGGAAAGAAAACUGGUGAAGGGCUUGUUGUGAGAAAAAGGAAAGAAGAAAAGAAUGGAAGGAGAGUACAUAAUGGAACUGGAGUAUCACAUCAUGCUGCGACUUGGUUACCCGAGGCCUUGAGUUUUGUAGGCACCCAGUUGUAACUGUCUUCAAGUCAGAAUGAACUGGAAUUGAUACACACGUGGGAAAAACCAGGAAAGAGCAACUCAAGAAGAAGAAUCAGAGAACAGAAAAAGUCACUUACAUCACAGCCUGAAGCAUUAGUGCUGAUGUGCAGGUCAAAAUUCACAGGAAAAUCUCCAAAGCAGAAAACUCCUAAAAUAUCUGUUUUAAGCAGAAUUGGGAAAAAAGGAUCUCACUGAAGGAGGAGCUCAUGGACAGAUCUGUGGAAGCUGCUAUCACUGUGGGAAAUGCAGUCAAGUAUUUUGUGGCAUGAUAUGAAAUUGAGAAAACAGCCUGAGAGCUGCAGCUCUUUAGGCACAUUACACCUGUUGUUACCACCUGACUUCCAUGGUCCCGUCAGAGUAAUGGCUUCUAUUGUACUU